rnacentral:rRNA from 1 species
UACGUAGGGAGCAAGCGUUGUUCGGAUUUACUGGGCGUAAAGGGCGCGUAGGCGGCAAAUUAAGUCAGCUGUGAAAUCUCCGAGCUUAACUCGGAACGGUCAGCUGAUACUGAUCUGCUAGAGUGCGGAAGGGGCAAUCGGAAUUCUUGGUGUAGCGGUGAAAUGCGUAGAUAUCAAGAGGAACACCUGAGGUGAAGACGGGUUGCUGGGCCGGUACUGACGCUGAGACGCGAAAGCGUGGGGAGCGAACAGG